UACGAAGGGGGCUAGCAUUGUUCGGAUUUACUGGGCGUAAAGCGCACGUAGGCGGAUCGUUAAGUCGGGGGUGAAAUCCUGGAGCUCAACUCCAGAACUGCCUUCGAUACUGGCGAUCUUGAGUCCGGAAGAGGUGAGUGGAACUCCUAGUGUAGAGGUGGAAUUCGUAGAUAUUAGGAAGAACACCAGUGGCGAAGGCGGCUCACUGGUCCGGUACUGACGCUGAGGUGCGAAAGCGUGGGGAGCAAACAGG
rnacentral:rRNA from 1 species